UGGAAGCCUACAAAGGUUAAAAUUGUGGUAUG
rnacentral:piRNA from 1 species